GGAUGCGAUCAUACCAGCACUAAAGCACCAGAUCCCAUCAGAACUUCGAAGUUAAGCAUGCUUGGGCGAGAGUAGUACUAGGAUGGGUGACCUCCUGGGAAGUCCUCGUGUUGCAUUCC
rnacentral:rRNA from 1 species